CAGCCGCCGCGGUAAUACGGAGGAUCCAAGCGUUAUCCGGAAUCAUUGGGUUUAAAGGGUCCGUAGGCGGUCUUGUAAGUCAGUGGUGAAAGCCCAUCGCUCAACGGUGGAACGGCCAUUGAUACUGCAGGACUUGAAUUAUUGGGAAGUAACUAGAAUAUGUAGUGUAGCGGUGAAAUGCUUAGAGAUUACAUGGAAUACCAAUUGCGAAGGCAGGUUACUACCAAUUGAUUGACGCUGAUGGACGAAAGCGUGGGUAGCGAACAGGAUUAGAUACCCGAGUAGUCCCUGUCUCUUAUAC
rnacentral:rRNA from 1 species